rnacentral:rRNA from 1 species
GACGAACGCUGGCGGCGUGCUUAACACAUGCAAGUCGAACGGUAAGGCCCUUCGGGGUACACGAGUGGCGAACGGGUGAGUAACACGUGGGUGAUCUGCCCUGCACUUCGGGAUAAGCCUGGGAAACUGGGUCUAAUACCGGAUAGGACCACUGCCUGCAUGGGUGGUGGUGGAAAGCUUUUGCGGUGUGGGAUGGGCCCGCGGCCUAUCAGCUUGUUGGUGGGGUGAUGGCCUACCAAGGCGACGACGGGUAGCCGGCCUGCGAGGGUGCCCGGCCACACUUGGACUGAGAUACUGCCCAGCAUCCGACUGGAGGCAGCAGUGGGGAAUAUUGCACAAUGGGCGCAAGCCUGAUGCAGCGACGCCGCGUGAGGGAUGACGGCCUUCGGGUUGUAAACCUCUUUCAGCACCGACGAAGCGUAAAUGACGGUAGGUGCAGAAGAAGGACCGGCCAACUACGUGCCAGCAGCCGCAGUAA